GACUAAAUAUAGUUUAAUGGUUUGCACAUUGGACAAUGACUCUGAAGAUCAGGGUUCAAUUCCCUGCUUGGCCA